rnacentral:rRNA from 1 species
GAUGAACGCUGGCGGCGUGCUUAACACAUGCAAGUCGAACGGAAAGGCUCCUGCUUGCAGGGGUACUCGAGUGGCGAACGGGUGAGUAACACGUGGGUGAUCUGCCCUGCACUUCGGGAUAAGCCUGGGAAAUUGGGUCUAAUACCGGAUAGGACCACAUUUUGGAUGGUGUGGUGGAAAGUUUUUCGGUGUGGGAUGAGCUCGCGGCCUAUCAGCUUGUUGGUGGGGUAAUGGCCUACCAAGGCGUCGACGGGUAGCCGGCCUGAGAGGGUGUACGGCCACAUUGGGACUGAGAUACGGCCCAGACUCCUACGGGAGGCAGCAGUGGGGAAUAUUGCACAAUGGGCGCAAGCCUGAUGCAGCGACGCCGCGUGGGGGAUGACGGCCUUCGGGUUGUAAACUCCUUUCGCUAGGGACGAAGCGCAAGUGACGGUACCUGGAGAAGAAGCACCGGCUAACUACGUG